UUUGGCCUGCUCAGGCAAAGUUGAGUAACCGGUUAGGUUGGUUAUGACCAUGCAUGUUUACUUUCCUACAAUCUAACAUUGGAGCGGUGAUGUCUACUCCAGAUGGGUACGUUUUAACUGGCUAUAACAGCAGAGACUAACAGGCUCGCGGCUAUUUUAUUGGUGUUGCAUUUUUUCUCAUCUUCGUUUAUUUUAUUUUUUUUAUUACGGGUGUGUUGUGCCACGUUACAUCAGCAAAGCAGCUCUGUCUGUCACCCAGCCCCACACCACGUUGUACGAGUGCUCGUAACAAUACAUUACAUUGUUAAGGAAGAGACUGGACACAAGAGGCUGACAUUCACAGGUGUGCCAACUUGACCAGCCAAGUUAACUCCAAACCACAUACCGACAAUUUUGUCGACAGUGUCAUGGUCUUCGAAGGACACAAAGCAGAAUCCCCUCUUCUUGCCAGUGGACCGCUCCUCCAUGAUGUCGAUGCAUUCAAUCUUUCCAUACUUCUCAAAGUGCUCUCGGAUGUGGUACUCCUCGGUGUCCUCCUUGAUACCACCGACAAAGAUCUUCUUCACCGUCAGAUGGGCACCUG